CACGGGGGGCAGGCCUAACACAUGCAAGUCGAACGGCAGCACGGGGGCAACCCUGGUGGCGAGUGGCGAACGGGUGAGUAAUACAUCGGAACGUGUCCUGUAGUGGGGGAUAGCCCGGCGAAAGCCGGAUUAAUACCGCAUACGCUCUGCGGAGGAAAGCGGGGGCUCCUUCGGGACCUCGCGCUACAGGGGCGGCCGAUGGCAGAUUAGCUAGUUGGUGGGGUAAAGGCCUACCAAGGCGACGAUCUGUAGCUGGUCUGAGAGGACGACCAGCCACACUGGGACUGAGACACGGCCCAGACUCCUACGGGAGGCAGCAGUGGGGGAAUUUUGGACAAUGGGCGCAAGCCUGAUCCAGCAAUGCCGCGUGUGUGAAGAAGGCCUUCGGGUUGUAAAGCACUUUUGUCCGGAAAGAAAACCUCAGCCCUAAUACGGCGGGGGGAUGACGGUACCGGAAGA
rnacentral:rRNA from 1 species